UAUCAUUGUUAUUACACUCUUGUACCCGUUGUAACUAAAUAUUGGGUUGUUAUCGAUACUGCAUAAAAUAAAUAAAAAUAAAAAUAUAGUUUUAUGCAUGAAGAUAUUCGAAUGUGAUCAAGAUAUCAGAACGAAGUUAUAAAAUUAUUGUAUUGGCAUCGGUCCUUGAAGUGUCUGCAAAUUUUCAAGUAAAUUAAACUUCUUGAAGUCUGUGAAAAUGACGUUCAAAACUUGAGUUACAUACAUACAAAAUAGGUACUCAAUCAAUAAACGCAUGUUAAACUGAUAAGACA